CUUUUCGGGCCCGUACCAAAUUUUUGGGCGGGAGGUCGAGGGGUUGCUCUCAUCGAAGUGUCCUGUCCGGCGCCGCCAGGUUUCUUUGAAAAAAUUAGAGUGCUCAGAGCAGGCUGACACGCCCGUAUAGUCGUGCAUGGAAUAAUGGGAAUAGGACGUCGUUUCUAUUUGUKGGUUCUUCGGAAAUCGACGUAAUGAUGACAGGGACAGCUCGGGGGCAUUGGUAUUCAGACGACAGAGGUGAAAUUCUUGGACCGUCUGANGACCGACUACUGCGAAAGCAUUUGCCAAGGAUGUUUUCAUUAAUCAAGAACGAAAGUUAGAGGUUCGAAGGCGAUCAGAUACCGCCCUAGUUCUAACCAUAAACGAUGCCAGCUAGCGAUCCGCGGACGUUUUCUCUGUAGGCUCCGCGGGCAGCUUCCGGGAAACCAAAGCCUUUGGGUUCCGGGGGGAGUAUGGUUGCAAAGCUGAAACUUAAAGCAAUUGACGGAAGGGCACCACCAGGAGUGGAGCCUGCGGCUUAAUUUGACUCAACACGGGAAAUCUCACCAGGCCCGGACACUGGAAGGAUUGACAGAUUGAGAGCUCUUUCUCGAUUCGGUGGGUGGUGGUGCAUGGCCGUUCUUAGUUGGUGGAGUGAUUUGUCUGGUUAAUUCCGAUAACGAACGAGACUCCGUCCUGCUAACUAGUCAGCCCGGUUUCAUACCCGGGCUGAGUUCUUCUUAGAGGGACUGGCGGCGUCUAGCCGCACGAGAUGGAGCAAUAACAGGUCUGUGAUGCCCUUAGAUGUUCUGGGCCGCACGCGCGCUACACUGAAGGGACCAGCGUGUCCUCCCUUCCGGAGACGGACGGGUAACCCGCUGAGCCCCCUUCGUGGUAGGGAUCGGGGCUUGCAAUUGUUCCCCGUGAACCAGGAAUUCCCAGUAAGCGCGAGUCAUAAGCUCGCGUUGAUUACGUCCCUGCCCUUUGUACACACCGCCCGUCGCUACUACCGAUUGAACGUUUUAGUGAGGUAUUUGGAUCGGACCGUUCCGGRUUCGCGCCCGGGGUUUGUGUCUGAGAAGACUCCCAAACUUGAGCCGUUUAGA
rnacentral:rRNA from 1 species